GGAUUGGAAUGGGCGCAGCCUGAUCCAGCCAUGCCGCGUGAGUGAUGAAGGCCUUAGGGUUGUAAAGCUCUUUCACCGGGGAAGAUAAUGACGGUACCCGGAGAAGAAGCCCCGGCUAACUCCGUGCCAGCAGCCGCGGUAACACGGGGGGAGCAAGCGUUGUUCGGAAUCACUGGGCGUAAAGGGCGUGUAGGCGGGUGGAUAAGUCAGAUGUGAAAACCCAGAGCUUAACUCUGGGCCUGCAUUUGAUACUGUCCGUCUUGAGUAUGGGAGAGGAGAUCGGAAUUCCUGGUGUAGCGGUGAAAUGCGUAGAUAUCAGGAAGAACACCUGUGGCGAAGGCGGAUCUCUGGCCUAAUACUGACGCUGAGGCGCGAAAGCUGGGGGAGCAAACAGGAUUAGAUACCCUGGUAGUCCCAGCCGUAAACGAUGGGCACUAGGUGUUGGAGGUAUUGAUUCCUUCAGUGCCGAAGCUAACGCAUUAAGUGCCCCGCCUGGGGAGUACGAUCGCAAGGUUGAAACUCAAAAAAAUUGACGGA
rnacentral:rRNA from 1 species